rnacentral:rRNA from 1 species
CCUACGGGUGGCAGCAGUGGGGAAUAUUGCACAAUGGGCGCAAGCCUGAUGCAGCCAUGCCGCGUGUGUGAAGAAGGCCUUCGGGUUGUAAAGCACUUUCAGCGGGGAGGAAGGCGGUGAGGUUAAUAACCUCAUCGAUUGACGUUACCCGCAGAAGAAGCACCGGCUCACUCCGUGCCAGCAGCCGCGGUAAUACGGAGGGUGCAAGCGUUAAUCGGAAUUACUGGGCGUAAAGCGCACGCAGGCGGUCUGUCAAGUCGGAUGUGAAAUCCCCGGGCUCAACCGGGGAACUGCAUUCGAAACUGGCAGGCUAGAGUCUUGUAGAGGGGGGUAGAAUUCCAGGUGUAGCGGUGAAAUUCGUAGAGAUCUGGAGGAAUACCGGUGGCGAAGGCGGCCCCCUGGACAAAUACUGACGCUCAGGUGCGAAAGCGUGGGGAGCAAACAGGAUUAGAUACCCGAGUAGUC